rnacentral:lncRNA from 1 species
AGAGUGGACCAGUGAGUGCUUGUGGCAACACUGUCAGGGCGUGGAGAGAGAGUGGACCAGUGAGUGCUUGUGGCAACACUGUCAGGGCGUGGGAGAGAGAGUGGACCAGUGAGUGCUUGUGGCAACACUGUCAGGGCGUGGGAGAGAGAGUGGACCAGUGAGUGCUUGUGGCAACACUGUCAGGGCGUGGGAGAGAGAGUGGACCAGUGAGUGCUUGUGGCAACACUGUCAGGGCGUGGGAGAGAGAGAGAGUGGACCAGUGAGUGCUUGUGGCAACACUGUCAGGGCGUGGGAGAGAGAGUGGACCAGUGAGUGCUUGUGGCAACACUGUCAGGGCGUGGGAGAGAGAGUGGACCAGUGAGUGCUUGUGGCAACACUGUCAGGGCGUGGGAGAGAGAGAGUGGACCAGUGAGUGCUUGUGGCAACACUGUCAGGGCGUGGGAGAGAGAGUGGACCAGUGAGUGCUUGUGGCAACACUGUCAGGGCGUGGGAGAGAGAGUGGACCAGUGAGUGCUUGUGGCAACACUGUCAGGGCGUGGGAGAGAGAGAGAGAGUGGACCAGUGAGUGCUUGUGGCAACACUGUCAGGGCGUGGGAGAGAGAGUGGACCAGUGAGUGCUUGUGGCAACACUGUCAGGGCGUGGGAGAGAGAGUGGACCAGUGAGUGCUUGUGGCAACACUGUCAGGGCGUGGGAGAGAGAGAGUGGACCAGUGAGUGCUUGUGGCAACACUGUCAGGGCGUGGGAGAGAGAGUGGACCAGUGAGUGCUUGUGGCAACACUGUCAGGGCGUGGGAGAGAGAGUGGACCAGUGAGUGCUUGUGGCAACACUGUCAGGGCGUGAGAGAGAGAGUGGACCAGUGAGUGCUUGUGGCAACACUGUCAGGGCGUGGGAGAGAGAGAGAGUGUACCAUUUAGUGGUGACUCCUGUGGUACGUACCUGUGGUCUAAACAUGUACCACUAAUCAGUAAUCUGGUGUACCACAAAGGCCUGUAUUCACAAGCGCUGUGUCCUCUUCACCCUCGCUGCUUUCCAAAGGCUCCGCUCCACCCUACUCCCUAAUCGUGUUUUUAAGGGUGUUUUUGUGGCUCUGGGGAUGGAUUGACAACAUUUAUAGUUUAUUAAAGGAGAAACUCUUGAAAACCUCAGCUUAUUGUCUCUAAUCGUGUUUUUAAGAGUGUUUUUGUGGCUCUGGGGAUGGAUUGACAAAAGAAAACGUGGAUAAUGGUCUCUACUCGUGUUUUUAAGAGUGUUUUCAUGGCUCUGGUGAUGGAUGGACAACAUCUCUAGUUUAUCAAAAGGAGAGACUCUUAAAACCUCGGCUGGUUGUCUCUGUGGCUGGAAAACUCAGUGAAAGAGCAAGACGUUUUUGAAUACAGCGUUAAAACAAUUCUCUAGAUGCCAAACGUACUGGGAUCAAACCGUUUAUAAAGGUGUAUUUAAGGUGUAUUUGAGGUGUGUUUAAGAUACUUUUGAUUUAUGCAAGAGGGGAAAGCAGACCAAGGGCUAGGAAAAAAAAAAAAAAGAUAAAAAAAAUGCCCACUUGUUAGCCAGUUCCCUGAAAGAUUAGUAGCGUUAGCCAGAUGCAUCAAAGGUGUAGAAGUGUGAAGGUGUACUAAAGGUGUCAAGAUUUAAAGGUGUACUGAAGGUGUAAAGGUGAAUUUGUAAAGGUGUAAAGGUCUGAAGGUGUGUUGAAAGUGGAAAGGUGUAGCAAAAGGUGUGAACUUCUAAAGGUGUCAAGGUGUAUUGAAGGUGUAAGGUGUAGAGCCAUCAACCUUUCAAUGACAUGAGGGCAAAACUGGCUAAUGGCACCAAAACCAUUAGAAAAACAGCCCCCACUUAGUUGCCAGUCCCCUUAAUGCCCCAUUCCCCUUACCAUUUAAAAACAUCAGUAUAUCAUUAUUUUGAGUCCAUUUCACGCAUCUCCCUUCAAAAUAACCCUUAAGAGCAACAGUACACCAUUAUUUUGACCCAUUUAGUCAUUUCCCUUCAAAAUUACCCUUAAGAGCAUCAGUACACCAUUAUGUUGACCCCAUUAAGUCAUUUCCCCUCAAAAUUACCCUUAAGAGCAUCAGUACACCAUUAUGUUGACCCCAUUUAGUCAUUUCUCUUGAAAAUAACCCUUAAGACAUCAGUACACCAUUAUGUUGACCCCAUUAAGUCAUUUCCCCUCAAAAUUACCCUUAAGAGCAUCAGUACACCAUUAUGUUGACCCCAUUUAGUCAUUUCUCUUGAAAAUAACCCUUAAGACAUCAGUACACCAUUAUUUUGACCCCAUUUAGUCAUUUCCCUUCAAAAUAAUAUAGGACUGAAUAAAAUAUGUAUAGAAUUUAAUGCUGAAAGAAAAAUUCCCGUUAAUUCCCGUGGGUCAGUAAAUGAGAGAGAAUUGUGGGAAAUUUCUAAUAAUAUUUUUCUGCCGAAGAGAAAAUGUUCACCUAUUUUUAAACAAACAAAAAAAAAAAGGUCAAAUGAGAGUCUAUAUAUUUUAUCCUUGAGUGUUUUACGUGCGUGUGUGUGUGUGUGUGUGUGUGUGUGUGUGUUUCGUUGACUUAUUGUUGCUGAUGAUGAUGAUGAUGAUGGCGGUGGUGGUGGUGGUGGUGUGCAAAUGUUAAGCUAAUACUACAAUUAAGGUAAACCCACAAAUUAAUGAAGAUAAAAUAUAUAAAUAAAUAAAUAAAUAAAAUUAAAAAAAAUGAAAUAAAGGGCGUGUGAUAUUUACGAUUAAUUUGUACUACUACUGCUACUACUACUACUACUACUACUACUACUACUACUACUACUACUACUACUACUACUACUACUACUACUACUACUACUACUACCACGUUCUUUUAUAAAACUUUGCAAUUUCAAACUACUACAACAACAACAACAACUACUACUACUACUACUACUACUACUACUACUACUACUACUACUACUACUACUACUACUACUUUAAGACUUCUUACUAUCGUGUGCCUAUCCAUCAUUAUUAUUAUUAUUAUUAUUAUUAUUAUUAUUAUUAUUAUUGUUGUUGUUGUUGUUGUUGUUGUUGUUGUUGUGUGAAAGGGCCAUUUCUUUGUAUAUUGUUUGUAUGUUUGUUUUGUUUCCCUUCAGAGAUUUUUUGUGGAGGUAAUAAAACUUGAUUUUUGAGACAAA